rnacentral:rRNA from 1 species
GACGAACGCUGGCGGCGUGCUUAACACAUGCAAGUCGAACGAUGAAGCCGGAGCUUGCUCUGGUGAAUUAGUGGCGAACGGGUGAGUAACACGUGAGUAACCUGCCCUUGACUCUGGGAUAACUGCUAGAAAUGGUAGCUAAUACCGGAUACGACCCUCGGAGGCAUCUUCAGGGGGUGGAAAGAAUUUCGGUCAAGGAUGGACUCGCGGCCUAUCAGCUAGUUGGUGAGGUAAUGGCUCACCAAGGCGACGACGGGUAGCCGGCCUGAGAGGGUGACCGGCCACACUGGGACUAAGACACGGCCCAGACUCCUACGGGAGGCAGCAGUGGGGAAUAUUGCACAAUGGGCGCAAGCCUGAUGCAGCAACGCCGCGUGAGGGAUGACGGCCUUCGGGUUGUAAACCUCUUUUAGUAGGGAAGAAGCGAAAGUGACGGUACCUGCAGAAAAAGCACCGGCUAACUACGUGCCAGCCGCCGCGGUAA